GACGAACGCUGGCGGCGUGCCUAAUACAUGCAAGUUGAGCGCUGAAGGUUGGUACUUGUACCGACUGGCUGAGCAGCGAACGGGUGAGUAACGCGUGGGGAAUCUGCCUUUGAGCGGGGGACAACAUUUGGAAACGAAUGCUAAUACCGCAUAAAAACUUUAAACACAAGUUUUAAGUUUGAAAGAUGCAAUUGCAUCACUCAAAGAUGAUCCCGCGUUGUAUUAGCUAGUUGGUGAGGUAAAGGCUCACCAAGGCGAUGAUACAUAGCCGACCUGAGAGGGUGAUCGGCCACAUUGGGACUGAGACACGGCCCAAACUCCUACGGGAGGCAGCAGUAGGGAAUCUUCGGCAAUGGACGAGAGUCUGACCGAGCAACGCCGCGUGAGUGAAGAAGGUUUUCGGAUCGUAAAACUCUGUUGGUAGAGAAGAACGUUGGUGAGAGUGGAAAGCUCAUCAAGUGACGGUAACUACCCAGAAAGGGACGGCUAACUACGUG
rnacentral:rRNA from 1 species